GAUCUUUUAAAUAAGACUUAUUUGUUAGGUGCACAAUUGUAUGAAGAACCAAGGGCGGGAAAAAAUGAAUGAAGAGACUUGUAAUUUUAUCACUGAACAUUAGUCAGGCAUUCAAACUUCUUCUUAGGUACGUACAUUGAAUGAAACAAUAAACUGUUUCUCCAAGCAACCACAGACCAUGCCAAGGUACCAUAGCUUAUUGAGUAUGACAGAAUAAAUAAUCGCCGACUCUCCGGAAAUAUCCAAAUGUAAACAAGAA